rnacentral:rRNA from 1 species
UGUAGGGCUUUGAAUAUGAUGCGGGCUGGAUCUCUCGGGGUUACAGCCUUGCUGAAUUAUUCACCCUUGUCUUUUGCGUACUUCUUGUUUCCUUGGUGGGUUCGCCCACCACUAGGACAAACAUAAACCUUUUGUAAUUGCAAUCAGCGUCAGUAACAAAUUAAUAAUUACAACUUUCAACAACGGAUCUCUUGGUUCUGGCAUCGAUGAAGAACGCAGCGAAAUGCGAUAAGUAGUGUGAAUUGCAGAAUUCAGUGAAUCAUCGAAUCUUUGAACGCACAUUGCGCCCUUUGGUAUUCCAAAGGGCAUGCCUGUUCGAGCGUCAUUUGUACCCUCAAGCUUUGCUUGGUGUUGGGCGUCUUGUCUCUAGCUUUGCUGGAGACUCGCCUUAAAGUAAUUGGCAGCCGGCCUACUGGUUUCGGAGCGCAGCACAAGUCGCACUCUCUAUCAGCAAAGGUCUAGCAUCCAUUAAGCCUUUUUUCAACUUUUGACCUCGGAUCAGGUAGGGAUACCCGCUGAACUUAAGCAUAUCAAAAACCCGGGAGAGGAA